UAUUUAAUUUGAUCAUAUGUUUAUAUAAAAACAAAAUAUGGCAGGGAGUCAGGCAGCUGUUGCCCCUUAUUAUAGUAGAUGCGAGUGCAACGCAAGACCUGUGAGCCCCAACUCCCACCGGAGCUUCUAGUUCUCAUAGCCAAACGUUACCCUUCUCCCAUAUACCUCCCUUCACGAAAACAUGGUAGAUUUGAAGAGUAUCUGAGCCAUAUUGCCAGAACCACCUUUUACCUUGUUAAAUUGUCUCACCCUAACUAAACACAACCCCCUGCCUGCUGGUUGGUCAAAAUCCGAGAUAGAGCUCGCGGUGUCAAAACACAACUGUUGAAUCCUUUUCAGAUUAUGAGCAGGAACCUCUUCCGGAAAACUUCCCAAAGAGGGUUCGACUUUUAUGAUGUUCGGAGAAAACAAAAAGGUCGUGCUUGAAAAUGUGGGUGACCUGAGGAUAUUAUCUCAUCUAAUGGGAAGCUCUAUGCCGUUGACCCAGAAGGAAGAACUAUAGUGAUUGACCCAUGCUUAAACGUUAGUUUCCUAACACAUGUAGAAUGUUUCCGCACUUUGUUAAUCCAUAAAACUGGCUAUGUGGAGAUGAAAGUGCGACCCAAAAUGGACCACCAAAAAAAUUAACAAUUCGAUUUAAGCAUAAUCUUUUUUUUCCUUGGCUAACACGAUUUGAAGUUAAAAUAGGCCAAAAGGAAAUCAAAACUUUGAGACUCGUACUCCUAAUGGUAAGAAAUGUACAUGAUUACAUCCAGCGAAUCCUCUUUAAUCUGUCAGCAACCAAUGAAACUAUGCAAUUUUUUCUACUAUUCAUAGAACUUACCUCACGCAGGGUCAUGAAUCUUCGGCUUCAAUCUCUCUCAUGAGCAUUUUCAGAAACUCUUCUCGCACUGAGGCUCCGUGUAUAUGAACACACCCUCUCAAAUUCAACUGCACAUGGUUUUCCGAAUUUCCAAUCGGAUUCCUCCUUAAGAAUGUUUCUCUUCAAAGAGGAAGGUGCCCUUCCAGGGUUUCCAGAGAGCGGGGUUGAAGAACAGAAGGUUGGCGUUGCAAAAGGAGAGGCAUAAGGAGUGUGCUGAAUUGAGAAGGGGCUUGGGGACAUUCGUUUUUGGAUUGGAAGACCACCCAAUCCUCUCCUGU